CUCUUUCAAUAUGCUCUCAAAAUUUUAAUUCCUUUAGUUUAGCCUAACCCCAUGCAUCUUAUACACACGGCGCACACUCUCACACUCCAUACAUUUAGCUAAUAAAUUACGUUAUAACAAAAAAGCAAAAUAAAAAGAUAAGUUACGUUAUCACUAGCUAUCCUAUAACCCACUUAGACUGAGUUUUGGAUUCUGGUUCGAAACAUAAAAUCUUAACUGAAAGGGCAUGGGCUUGAGUUUUGUUAACUAGUCCGAAGUAAAUACAAACCUUAAACUUACCUAAACCAAAGGCUCGAUUAAAUAAGCAUGAGAAUGCUUAGAAUUAUUUUUAAAACUUUUUAAUAAGAGUUUAAAAUCCAACCGAAAAUUAUAAUGUCGCUAAUUUAGUGAGGAUAUAGUACUGUUUAUCUAUAUAGUUCAAACAGACUUAACCGCAAUUCUCAUACUCAUUUAACCGGAACGCCUUGAUGAUCAUUUGUAUGGCACGUCGCAGCUGCUCUCAAACCCGCAAGUAACAAGAUACUUAUCAUAUUUGGUCAAAGAGGAUUCGUUAUAAAGUCAAAUUUCCACUGCAUGAAAUCAACAUGAAAACAAAGCAUAGUGUAUUCCCCUGGGAAUUAAAAAUACGGAAAAAAAUAAAAUUGCAGAAUACCUUCACGCUUUCGCGAAAUAAAAAAAAAUUAACAUAAAAAACAAGGUAUAGUAUAUUCCCAUGGGCAUGGGCGUACGGGAAGGGAAAAAUUAGGGGGGCGGAAAGAAAUUUGCCCGACUUUUUGGAUGUGCCCGAGUUGUCAAAAAAAUUUUCCGGAGAAACUUUCCAAAAUUGUUCUCGACGGGGGGAGGAGUGAUAACGAAAAAUUCCUAUUAGAUAGCAUAUUUCCCACAAAAUUGACAGAAUUUCCCUAAAAAUUGACAGAAUUUGUCCCAUUUAUUUUUAUAAUAAGCCAAUAUUGCCCGACUGUAAAGCGAAUAUUGCCCGACUGGCUUUGUUUGCCCAACAAACUGGGGGGGCUGCCGCCCCCCCCGCCCGGUACGCCCAUGCCCAUGGGAAUUAAACAUACGAAAAAUAAACCACCAAUUCUUAACUUUUUAACGCUUGAAAUAGGGUUGCUUGUUUUCAUCGUAUGUUGAUUUAUCGUUGUAAAUACAAGACUUAUCCCAUAGUUAACAGAAUAUAAACAUAGAUAGGGACCGCAUCUGACAGUGAUUUUAUUAUCAACUCCAACUGACGAUGAAAAAGAGGAAAUGCUUGGUGCUAGAUUCCAAGCCAUGUUUAUUUUACAUCAACUAUUAUGGGUUGAAGCGGAUUAAUAUUUUGUUUUCAGAAAAUACUACAAUCGGAAAUAUUCCAGGCAACACUUAGUGCUUUUAAGGUAUUGUUGCUUCGAUCUUUUUUAUACAAACAGUUAUCUACUAUUAAUUUUGGAAACUUUUUGUUGUUUUAACAAAAAAAUUGAAAUGAUAUGUUACCUUGUACAGACUCUAGCU